rnacentral:lncRNA from 10 species
GAAUGAUAGCUCCCAUGAUUCCCAUGUGUUGUGGGAGGGACCCGGUAGGAGAUAAUUGAAUCAUGGGUCAGUUUUCCCCAUACUGUUCUCGUGGUAGUGAAUAAGACUCACGAGAUCUGAUGGUUUUAUAAGGAGUUCCCCUUUCACUUGAUCCUCAUUCUCUCUUGUCUGCUGCCAUGUAAGAGGUGUCUUUCUCCUUCCACCACGAUUAUGAGGCCUUCCUAGCCACAUGGAACUACACUAGAGAACUCACUCGCCCUCUGUCUUCCAUGUGAGGACACAACAAAAAGAUUCCAGUCUGCAACCCGGAAGAUCUUCACCAGAACCCACCCAUGUUGGCACCCUGAUCUCAGACUUCCAGCCCCCAUAACUCUGAGAUAUAAAUUUCUGUUGUUUAUAAGCCACUCAGUCUAUGACAAUGUAUUAUAGUAGCCCGAACUAAGGGACUCCCUUUCUGUAAACUUGUGGCCACUAAUCUAUCUUCUAGACUAUAGUCUCCUCCAUGGUUACUGAUGGAAAUUGUAACAAUCUCUAAGAAUGGGAUACUUGACUCUAUCUACUUUUAAUCCACAAGCACUGUCCUCACAGCCACAUUUUCCUGAUAGAACAUGCCUCUUUCGUUAUCCCCCUGGCAAUCCCCAGCAAGCUUGGAGAUAUGGUUUGGCUCUGUGUCCCCACCCAAAUCUCAUGUUGAAUUGUAAUUCCCAAAGUGUUGGGGCAGGGACCUGGUGGGAGGUGAUUGGAUUAUAAGGGUGGAUUUCCCUAUGCUGUUCUCAUGAUAGUGAGUGAGUUCUCACGAGAUCUGAUCAUUUAAAAGUAUGUGGCACUUCCCCCUUUGCUCUCUCUCUCUCUCUCCUGCCACUAUGUGAAGAAGGUGCUUGUUUCCCCUUCACCUUCCACCAUGAAUGUAAGUUUCUUGGCCUCUCAGUCAUGCUUCCUGUUAAGCCUGCAGAAUUGUGAGUCAAUUAAAUUUGUUUUCUUCAUAAAUUACCCAGUCUCAGAUAGUUCUUUAUAGCAGUGUGAGAAGGGAUUAAUACACCUGGGGUCGCCA